rnacentral:rRNA from 1 species
GUGCCAGCAGCCGCGGUAAGACGUAGGGUGCAAGCGUUGUCCGGAAUUAUUGGGCGUAAAGAGUUCGUAGGCGGUCUGCUAAGUCUGGUGUUAAAAACCGAAGCUCAACUUCGACACGGCAUCGGAAACUGGUAGGCUAGAGUAUGGUAGAGGCAAGGGGAAUUCCCGGUGUAGCGGUGAAAUGCGUAGAUAUCGGGAGGAACAUCAGUGGCGAAAGCGCCUUGCUGGGCCAUUACUGACGCUGAGGAACGAAAGCUAGGGUAGCGAAAGGGAUUAGAUACCCCUGUAGUCC